UGUGAACUAUGAAUUUUUAUAAUUUAGAAAAACUAAGAUUCUUAAAAUGAAAAGAGAAGAGAACAAUGUUCCAACAAGUAGAACAUGGACAUUGUUGGAGAACAAUUUUAAGAUUCAAAAUACAUUAACUCAAAGACUAAGUCACCACCACAUGAUGUCAUGUCCAUACCCACAAAAGACUUCUCCUUCACACCAAGCUACGCACCAACCUGCAGCAUAAUUUUGAACUAGUUGACAACCAAUAGUAGUUAUACAACUAGUUGACGACCAGUUACUUAAGUAUGUGUGAAAACAUCAUUAAUUGACUAAGAUGUUACUAUUAUUAUAUUAAUAUAAGAGUUAUCAAUUGGAUGUAUAUGGAAAGGAAUUGUCAAAACAUCAUUUCUCAGAUCUAUGGUAUUAGAGACAGCUGUUCAAUUUUGGGUUGGGUGGACAAAUGUUAGAAGUUGUAUUGUGACGAAAACAUGCCCAAUCAAAUACUGGAUGCAGAACAUGAGGGUCCAAGGUCUAGGCUAAAAAGGGACAGGAACAUACCCAAGGAUUGGGUUUGGUAUAUUCAUGAUUAGAUAAUUUCGUGAUGAACAUUUGUCAAAGGAUGGAAAUAAUUCUGUUGGGGAAUGUCAUUUUGUAGGGCAGUUAAAAUCUUAGAAUGGGUUAAAAUGAUGUCCGCACUUGGCAAGGUAAGAAAACAAAUCACACGACAGUCCUCAUUUUCUCCCUAUUUGCUUGAUGAGGGUGCUUUUGUUGAGAAGAGUUACUUAUAGGCUUAUUAAGGUAUAGACUAAAUAUUGAUAGGUAAGUGAAGUCAUCAAAGAAGAAAGAGUUAUUACCUUGUCAGUGUCGAUAAAGAGAAAGUUGUCUUAAACAAUUUUUAAAGGGAUGAAAAUGUUAGGAGUCUCACAUCAUGGAAGAGAUGUUGAAGUUAGAUCUAGAGGUUCUUCCACCUAAACUAAUAUUUUGGAUUGAACUCUUCUUUUAUACUGAAGUCUUAACAACAGAGGAAUAGACCCUGGACCAAGACAACCAAACAAAAGUCCAAACCUAAGGAUUUCUUCAGGAAAAUAUUUAUCCAAAGUAAGAGUAUAAGAAAAUCCUAUCGUACUUUUAGAAUGUUCAAAAUUUUGAAUGCGUCAGCUUUGGAAGAGGCUUUAGCUUCAUGGUAUUUAAUGAAAUUGUGGUUUCUCAUUAUUGCCGAUUUGAAGUGUAAUUUUAUAGGUUUUGAUUUAAUAUCCAUUUAUAAGAAAUCAGAAUGGCAAGUGCCGAAAAUCUGUGACGCUUAGUCACUUCUGGAUAUGAUCAAUAAGAAUUCAACAAGAUUAUACCCAUUAAUAGUUGAGGAGCAA
rnacentral:lncRNA from 1 species